AUGGCCUGCGGUCCCAAGAAGCAUCUGAAGCGUGUAGCAGCUCCAAAGCAUUGGAUGCUGGAUAAGCUGACCGGUGUGUUUGCUCCUCGUCCAUCCACCGGUCCCCACAAGCUGAGAGAGUGUCUCCCACUCAUCAUUUUCCUAAGAAACAGGCUUAAGUAUGCCCUGACAGGAGAUGAAGUGAAGAAGAUCUGCAUGCAGCGCUUCAUUAAAAUCGAUGGCAAGGUCCAAACUGAUAUAACCUACCCUGAUGGAUUUAUGGAUGUCAUCAGCAUUGACAAGACUGGAGAGAAUUUCCGUCUGAUUUAUGACACCAAGGGUCGCUUUGCUGUUCAUCGUAUCACACCUGAGGAGGCCAAGUACAAGUUGUGCAAAGUGAGAAAAAUCUUUGUGGGCACAAAAGGAAUCCCUCAUCUGGGUGACUCAUGAUGCUCGUACCAUCCGCUGUCCUGAUCCACUCAUCAAAGUGAAUGACACCAUUCAGAUUGAUUUGGAGACUGGCAAGAUUACUGAUUUCAUCAAGUUUGACACUGGUAACCUGUGUAUGGUGACUGGAGGCGCUAACUUGGGAAGAAUUGGUGUGAUCACCAACAGAGAAAGACAUCUCGGGUCUUUUGAUGUGGUUCACGUGAAAGAUGCCAAUGGCAACAGCUUUGCCACUCGCCUCUCCAACAUUUUCGUUAUUGGCAAAGGCAACAAACCAUGGAUUUCUCUUCCUCGAGGAAAAGGUAUCCGCCUCACCAUUGCUGAAGAGAGGGAUAAGAGACUGGCAGCCAAACAGAGCAGGGUGAAAUGGUCUCCAUGUAACAUAAUAACAUGUUAA